AACGUAGGUGGCGAGCGUUAUCCGGAUUCAUUGGGCGUAAAGAGCUUGUAGGUGGCGGCGUAAGUUGGACGUGAAAUCGCCCGGCUCAACCGGGCGGGGUCGUUCAAUACUGCGCGGCUGGAGGAGGUCAGAGGGAAGUGGAAUUCCUGGUGUAGCAGUGAAAUGCGUAGAUAUCAGGAGGAACACCCGUGGCGAAGGCGGCUUCCUGGGGCCAUCCUGACACUGAGGCGCGAAAGCUAGGGGAGCAAACGGG
rnacentral:rRNA from 1 species